GACAGAGGCCUCAAGCGUUAGGCGGAAUCACUGGGCUUAAAGCGUGUGUAGGCGGAUCGUUAAGUGUCUUGUGAAAUCCCACGGCUCACCCGUGGAACUGCUGGGCAUACUGGCGAUCUUGGGCCAACUAGGGGCAACUGGAACAAGCGGUGGAGCGGUGAAAUGCGUAGAUAUCGCUUGGAACGCCAAAGGUGAAAACAGGUUGCUGGGGUUGUGCCGACGCUGAGACACGAAAGCCAGGGGAGCAAACGGGAUAGAUACCCA
rnacentral:rRNA from 1 species